rnacentral:rRNA from 1 species
CGGACCGGCGUACGGGUGCGUAACGCGUAUGCAACCUACCAUCAACAGGGGGAUAACACUGAGAAAUUGGUACUAAUACCCCAUAAUAUCUCAUGCGGCAUCGCAUGGGGUUGAAAACUCCGGUGGUUGAUGAUGGGCAUGCGUUGUAUUAGCUGGUUGGUGAGGUAACGGCUCACCAAGGCGACGAUACAUAGGGGGACUGAGAGGUUAACCCCCCACAUUGGUACUGAGACACGGACCAAACUCCUACGGGAGGCAGCAG